CAUCUCUCAUUAGCUGUGUGACCNNNGGGGGGGGGUCUGACCCAAUGUGAGAGUGAGGAACAGAAACGGAUGCUGAGGUCAGGGUGACCCAGAGCCCCCUGCCCACAUUAGGGUCCUCUAAGUGCUAGAUCUAGGGCCUGCAUCUACUAAGCAGAGUACCUCCUCACACGCACAGGACCCCUUCCUAAAGAGGCAAACAUCCUCGGCGGGACCAGUGCCUGGAACUGUCACAUCUCAUUUGCUGAGUAGUUCAUCAGAUCCAGUUUAUACCUGCAUAAGGAGAAAAAAUGGUGCCGGAAGGGACCAGAAAGAGGGUGGCUUGGGGCAGAGUCUACUUGACCUCUGCAUGCAGCACAUAAAGAAGGAAGCCUGCCGGUUCUUUUAUCUACUCAGUCUGUCUAGGCUCAGCCUUGGACUUGAGACCACAGCACAGGUACCCCAAACCUGUUCCUUCUCCAGGCUUCCAGACCAUAACAAACAACUGGUCUGCUUUCCUCCCCAGUGCUCCCUCUCUUGCAAACACCUGCAUAGAGGAACCCUGACAUCACCCUACUUCAUACACUCAAACAGUUGCUGUGAGCAUAAACCUUGUGAUUAGGGGCUGGAUAUAUAUAGAGAAAACAAGAUGGACCUUGCUGCUAUCAGGAGAACAGGGUACUGACAUUGGUGAUCUAGGAGCACCCAGUUGCUUAACAUAGAUGGGUCAGCCUUUCAAAGAAAGAGAGAUCUCAAGGCUGGGUGGGAGCUGUCCAGACCUGGGGACAGGGGAAACUAGCAGGGAGGCAGAAUGUUUUCUGUUGCUCACUGGCUCAGUCUUUCAAGUUCUAGGCUCUGUGCCUGUUUCUGUGCUGGGACACACAAGCUGUGGGUCCCUGUCCUCCAGGAUUUCAGGGAAGCAGAUCUCUAAAUCAGUGACUACAGCUCAGUGGAAAAUUCCAUGAUGGAUGUGCCCAGGGGGUUAAUGGGAAUAUAGAUGCAGGCAUCCAACUCGCCAGGGAUAAGGAAGAGGCAGAUCAGGGAAGUCUUCCUGAAGCAGACACUCAAGCCAAAGCCUGAAGGGCAGUAUGUCAGCCAGACAAGAGGAAGCUGAGAGGUGGCAGCCAGGCAGAGGAACAGGACAUGGGAAAGGUCACAGAAAAACAAAACUACUUGUUCUGUCUGAAGCAAGUGGCAAGCAAAGCUGCUGGCAGCCUUCAGACUGUGUGGGCUAAGGGUAGAGAGAUGUUUCCAGUAAGACUAGAGGCCCCUUCCAUGGUGUGCAGUGACGGAGAAGAGCAUGGUGGAAGUAAUUUUAAUGUUUCUAUAAUCAAAUGAGGUCAGGCAGCUCUGUACUUCCUCUGGCUGAACACACAUUUAAAAGGAAAAAUGUAAAAGUAACUAAAGCCCAGAUCUGGAAUAGCAGACUCUAUGAGGUCCUCUGGAAACAGAACCCCCUGGUGGAUGCAAAUCUUUGAAUGAGUCACGUUCAGAAAGCUUUGAUUUUCUGGGACAUGAGCAAAUCAGGAGAUAGUUGAACGGACACGCAAUUCCUCCUUUCUGAGAGGACAGAGGGCCAAAGGCAUAUGAGUGCACAAGCCAGCCCAUCAGGCAAACACACGAGGGCCUUGUGGGGCAGGCAUCAGGAGUCUCCUUGGUCCCCACUCCCUUAUCCUGCCCUCAAUGCUUGAGUUAGGCCCCUCACCUGAUACUGGCUCCAGUCAAUGUUCAGAGAGUGAGUCAGGAAGUCGGGGAUGCUCAAUGGGGCAUCAACGUAGUCCUGGGGACAGAAAGACUCCUGUGAGAUGUGGGUUGGCCACCAGAGGAGGCUUAGGUGAUGGGGAAGCUUGCAGUCCUGAGGCUGUGACUACCACAGGCAGUGCUUGCCUUCUCUAGGCCAGAUACCUGUGCUGCCCCAGAGUAUCAGCUGGGAGUGACAGCUUAAAAAUAUGCUGACCCCAGCUUUCACACAGAGAGUACAGAAGGGAAGUGCUUUUCCUAUCUUGUUUCUGAAAAAUUCCCUUAAACGAAAGAGAAAUAAAGGGGGGAGGAAAGUAUAAUGCUGAAAAUUUAACAUGUAUAUACAAGGAGAAGUGGGAGAGGAAGACAGAAACAAUCAGGGAGGAAAGGGGAGUUAUUUUCCCCAAAGACUGCUUAUUGUUUUCCCCAAAGACUGCUUGUUGUUCUUCUUGGCCUCCCUUUACAAAGAGACAUAGAUCCAAUUUGAUGUAUGUUAUUGCUCAUACCUGCUUCCAGUUAAAUAUGAGCCCUUCUGCCAUGUAAUCCCGAUCUUUAUAUUCCUUGAAAAAUUCACAGCCUGGAAAAGAAGGGCAGAGUUAUGACAUCUCCCUUCCCAGCCCAAAGUCUUCUGAGACAGCCCUGGCCAGACCCAGGUCCCUGAGUGCUGUGGAGAGGGGGCCGCCAACUCACACUUCUCCAAGCUAGUGGCUUCAGUGAGGCCAAGGCUGACACGGGUGGGCAAAAGCCAGGGGCGAGCCUCUAGAGCCCCUCUGGUUUCCUGGCUGCAUGCCUUUUCCACGAGGCACUGCCUGCUCUCAGCCUCUUUGUAACUUUCUCCAUCUACGCUCACUGGUCACCAGUCACUUCCCCCACACUGCAAGUCCCUUUGUCCUACAGGUCUCUGUAGUGCCAAUCCCAGUAAACAAAGGCAUGGCUCACAACGUGAGCCACUGCAGCCU
rnacentral:lncRNA from 1 species